UUCAUGGAGAGUUCGAUCCUGGCUUAGAAUGAACACUAGCGGCAUUCUUAACACAUGCAAGUCAGACGAGAAGUGGUGUUUCCAGUGGCGGAAGGGUGAGUAACGCGUAAGGAACUAUCUUUGGGAGGGGAACAACAGCUGGAAACGGCCGCUAAUACCCCAUAGGCUGAGGAGCAAAAAGAGGAAUCUGCCCCAGGAGGGGCUCGCGUUUGAUUAGUUAGUUGGUGAGGCAAUAGCUUACUAAGGCAAUGAUCAGUAGCUGGUCCGAUAGGAUGAUCAGCCACACUGGGACUAAGAAACGGGUUAGACUCCUAAGAGAGGCAGUAGUGGGGAAUUUUUUGCAAUAGGUGAAAGCCUGACGGAGCAAUACCGCGUGGAGGUAGAAGACCUAUGGGUUGUGAACUUCUUUUCCCAAAGAAGAAGAAAUGACGAUAUCCGGGGAAUAAGCAUCGACUAAAUUUGUGCCAGCAGCCGCAGUAAUACAUAGGAUGCAAGUGUUAUUUGGAAUAAUUGGGCGUAAAGCGUAUGUUGGUGGCUUUUUAAGUCCACCGUCAAAUACCAAGACUCAACCCUAGACAGGCAGUGGAAACUACUAAGUUGGACUACGAUAGAGGUAAAGGGGAUUUUCGGUGGAACGGUAAAAUACGUAGAGAUCGAAAAGAACACCAACGGUAAAAGCACUCUGCUGGGCUGACAUUGACAUAAAGAGACGAAAACUAGGGGUGUGAAUGAGAUUAGAUACCCCAAUAGUCCUACCCGUAAAUGAUGGAUACUAGGCGCUGUGCGUAUCGACCUGUGUAGUGUUAUAGCUAACAUGUUAAGUAUCCAGCCUAGGGAGUACGUUCACAAGAAUGAAACUCAAAAGAAUUGAUAGGGGCUCGCACAAGCGGUGGAGUAUGUGGUUUAAUUCGGUGCAAAGCGAAGAACCUUACCAAGGCUUGACAUGUCGCGAAUCCUUUUGAAAGAGAGGGGUACAUUUGGGAAUGCAGACACAUGUGGUGUAUUAUUAUUGCCAGCUCGUGCCUUAAGGUGUUGGGUUAAGUCAUCAUGCCCCUUAUACAUUGGGCGACACAUGCUACAAUGGACGGGAUAAAGGGUCGCGAUCCCGCAAGGGUGAACUAACUCCAAAAACCCGUCCUCAGUUUGGAUUGCAAGCUGUAACUCGUCUGCAUGAAGCCAGAAUUGCUAGUAAUCACCGGUCAGUAAUACGACGGGGAAUUCAUUCCCGGGCAUUGUACACAUCUCUCGUCACACUAUGGGUGCUGGCCAUACCCGAAGUUGUUACCUUAACCUCAAUGAGGGGAUGUUGAAGGCAGGGCUAGUGACUAGAGUGAAGUCAUAACAAGGUAGCCGUACUAGAAGGUGGGACUGGAUCAUCUCCUUU
rnacentral:rRNA from 1 species